rnacentral:rRNA from 1 species
CGUGGCGACGAUGCGUAGGGGUUCUGAGAGGAAGGUCCCCCACACUGGUACUGAGACACGGACCAGACUCCUACGGGAGGCAGCAGUGAGGAAUAUUGGUCAAUGGGAGAGAUCCUGAACCAGCCAAGCCGCGUGAGGGAAGACGGCCCUAUGGGUUGUAAACCUCUUUUGUCGGAGAACAAAACCCGGGACGUGUCCCGGACUGCGUGUAUCCGAAGAAAAAGCAUCGGCUAACUCCGUGCCAGCAGCCGCGGUAAUACGGAGGAUGCGAGCGUUAUCCGGAUUUAUUGGGUUUAAAGGGUGCGUAGGCGGUCCGUUAAGUCAGCGGUAAAAUUGCGGGGCUCAACCCCGUCGAGCCGUUGAAACUGGCAGACUUGAGUUGGCGAGAAGUACGCGGAAUGCGCGGUGUAGCGGUGAAAUGCAUAGAUAUCGCGCAGAACUCCGAUUGCGAAGGCAGCGUACCGGCGCCAGACUGACGCUGAGGCACGAAAGCGUGGGGAUCGAACAGGAUUAGAUACCCUGGUAGUCCACGCAGUAAACGAUGAAUGCUGGUUGUCCGGGUCGAAUGAGAUCUGG